UACGGGGGGAGCAAGCGUUGUUCGGAUUUACUGGGCGUAAAGGGCGCGUAGGCGGCCACCGCAAGUCGGUUGUGAAAUCUCUGGGCUUAACCCAGAAAGGUCAACCGAUACUGCGGGGCUAGAGUGCAGAAGGGGCAACUGGAAUUCUCGGUGUAGCGGUGAAAUGCGUAGAUAUCGAGAGGAACACCGGUGGCGAAGGCGGUUCUCUGGGCCUUACCUGACGCUGAGGAGCGAAAGCGUGGGGAGCGAACAGG
rnacentral:rRNA from 1 species